UAGGGAAUAUUGGUAAUCUGGGAAACCGGGAACCAGCAACACCGCGUGUGCGAAGAAGGCCUUCGGGUUGUAAAGCACUUUUUGAGAGGAUGAGGAAGGACGGUACUCUCAGAAUAAGUCUCGGCUAACUACGUGCCAGCAGCCGCGGUAACACGUAGGAGGCAAACGUUAUCCGGAUUUACUGGGCGUAAAGCGCGUGUAGGUGGUUUGGUAAGUAGAGCGUGAAAGCUCCUGGCUCAACUGGGAGAGGUCGUUCUAAACUGCCGGACUAGAGGAUGGUAGAGGGAGGUGGAAUUCCGGGUGUAGCGGUGGAAUGCGCAGAUAUCCGGAGGAACACCAGUGGCGAAAGCGGCCUCCUGGACCAUUCCUGACACUCAGACGCGAAAGCUAGGGUAGCAAACG
rnacentral:rRNA from 1 species